UUUAGUAUCAUUGGGGUUAUACGACCCACAGACUGGCAGGCGCCAGCAUAGCGAUCAACACACAUCUCUUUGCAAAUUUGCAGUCAUCCUUUGUAGUAGGUACUGCCUUGUUUCAUAUGAAUUUUGAAAAAGAGAGAGUAUGUUGAUGUGAACAUGAGAACUGGAUAUUUUACAGUUGAUUUGUGCAUAUUCAGUGGAGGAGUAAUGGUACUCAGCAGGCUAAGGCAGGAGGAUAACAAGUUUGAGGACAGCCUGGGAAACAUAGUGAGAUCUUUGUCACAAAAGAAGACAAAGGAAGAUGCAAUGCCCUUUUAAAAUAAU
rnacentral:lncRNA from 1 species